rnacentral:rRNA from 1 species
CCGGGUUGAUCGUGACAGUAGUCAUAUGAUUUUCUCAAUGAUUAAGCCAUGCAUGUGUAAGUAUGAACAAAUUCAGACUGUGAAACUGCGAAUGUCUCCUUAAAUCAGUUAUAUUUUGUUUGAUGGUAUCUACUACUCGGAUAACCGUAGUAAUUCUAGAUCUAAUACGUGCAAUGAACCCCGACAUCUAGAAGGGAUUCAUUUACUAGAUAAAAGUUCGAUGCGGGCUCUGUCCGUUGUUGUGAUGAUUCAUGAUAACUCGACGGAUCAUACGCCAUCGUGCCGGAGACACAUCAUUUAAAUUUCUUUCCUAUCAACUUUCGAUGGUAGGAUAGUGGCCUACCAUAGUGGUGACGGGUGACAAAAAAUUAGAGAUCAAUUUUAGAGAGGGAGAUUGAGAAAUGGCUACCACAUCCAAGAAAUUCAGAAGGUGCACAAAUUACCCAAUCCUGACACGGUGAGGUAGUGACAAUAAAUAACAAUACCAGGCUAAUGAGUCUUGUAAUUGGAAUAAGUACAAUCUAAAUCCCUUAAUGAGGAUCCAAUUGAGGGAAAGUCUGGUGCCAGCAGCUGCAGUAAUUCCUGCACCAAUAGAGUAUAUUUAAGUUAUUGCAGUUAAAAAGCUUGUAGUUAGACUUUGGUAUGGGCCGUCCGGUCAGCCUAGGGUAUGAACCGGUAGUCUCGUCCCUUCUGUCGGCGAUGCUCUCCUGGCCUUAAAUAGAUGGGUUGUGCCUCCGAAGCUUUUACUCUGAAUAAAUUAGAGUGCUCAAAGCAACCUAUGCUCAGUAUACAUUAGCAUGGGAUAACAUUAUAGGAUUUCGAUCCUAUUACAUUGGCCUUCGGGAUCGGAAUAAUGAUUAAUAGGGAUAGUUGGAGGCAUUCUUAUUUCAUAGUCAUAGGUGAAAUUCUUGGAUUUUUGAAAGACGAACAACUACAAAAGAAUUUGCCAAGGAUAUUUUCAUUAAUCAAGAACGAAAGUUAGAGGCUAGAAUACAAUUAGAUACCAUCCUAGUCUGAACCAUAAACGAUGUUAACCAGGGAUCGGAGGAUGUUGCUUUUAGGACUCCGCCGACACCUUAUGAGGAAUCAAAGUUUUUAGGUUCCUGGGGGAGAAUGGUCGCAAGGCUAAAACUUAAAGAAAUUGACGGAAGGGCACCACCAGGAGUGGAGCCUACGUCUUAAUUUGACUCAACAUGGGGAAACUUACCAGGUCCAGACAUAGUAAGGAUUGACAGAUUGAGAGCUUUUUCUUGAUUCUAUGGGUGGUGGUGCAUGGACGUACUUAGUUGGUAAAGUGAUUUGUCUGGUUAAUUCUAUUAACGAAUGAGACCUCAGUCUUCUAACUAGCUAUGCGAAGGUAUCCCUUUGUGGGUAGCUUCUUAGAGGGACUACGGUAUUUUAGGUCAUGGAAGUUUCAGGCAAUGACAGGUCUGUGAUGCUGUUAGAUGUUCUGGGCCGCACGCGCGCUAUACUGAUGUAUUUAACGAUUUUAUAGACUUGGUGGAUAGGCCUAGGUAAUCUUUGAAAUUUCAUCUUGAUGGGGAUAGAUCAUUGCAUUUCUUGGUCUUCAACGAGGAAUUCCUAGUAAGAGCGAGUCAUCAGCUCGUGUUGACUAUAUCCCUGCCCUUUGUACACACCGCCUGUCGCUCCUACCAUUUGAAUGAUUCAGUGAAAUGUUCGAAUUGUGGCAACAUGGUCGGUUUGCUGCCCGUGGGAUCAUGAGAAGUCCAUUGAACCUUAGCAUUUAGAGGAAGGAAAAGUCGUAACAAGGUUUCCGUAGGUGAACCUGCGGAAG